rnacentral:rRNA from 1 species
GACAGAGGUGGCAAGCGUUGUUCGGAUUCAUUGGGUGUAAAGGGCAGGUAGGUGGUCGGGUAAGUCUGAUGUGAAAUCCCACGGCUCAACCGUGGAACUGCAUUGGAAACUGCCUGACUUGAGUACCGGAGAGGUGAAGGGAAUUCUCGGUGUAAGGGUGAAAUCUGUAGAUAUCGAGAGGAACACCAGUGGCGAAGGCGCUUCACUGGCCGGUAACUGACACUGAUCUGCGAAAGCAAGGGGAGCAAACAGG